rnacentral:rRNA from 1 species
AUACGGAGGAUCCGAGCGUUAUCCGGAUUUAUUGGGUUUAAAGGGUGCGCAGGCGGCCAUUUAAGUCAGCGGUUAAAUCGUGGGGCUCAACCCCAUUCUGCCGUUGAUACUGGGUGGCUUGAUUGCGGUCGAGGUUGGCGGAAUUCGUUGUGUAGCGGUGAAAUGCAUAGAUAUGACGAAGAACACCGAUUGCGUAGGCAGCUGACCAGACCGCAAAUGACGCUCAUGCACGAAAGUGCGGGGAUCGAACAGGAUUAGAUACCCUGGUAGUCCGCACAGUAAACGAUGAAUACGUGUUUUCGGCGAUAUAAUGUCGGAGGCAAAGCGAAAGCGAUAAGUAUUUCACCUGGGGAGUACGCCGGCAACGGUGAAACUCAAAGGAAUUGGCGGGG